AAGGCGCGUCCUUGAGACCCACCGCUCCGUGACGCUGGGCGCUUGGGUGCAUCGGCGCCCCGAGA
rfam:Trypanosoma cruzi strain CL Brener tcruzi_1047053452665, whole genome shotgun sequence.